GAUGAACGCUAGCGGCAGGCUUAAUACAUGCAAGUCGAGGGGCAGCAUGAUUGUAGCAAUACAAUUGAUGGCGACCGGCAAACGGGUGCGGAACACGUACACAACCUUCCAACAAGUGGGGGAUAGCCCAGAGAAAUUUGGAUUAAUACCCCGUAACAUAGCGAUGUGGCAUCACAUUGUUAUUAUAGAUUUUUCGCUUGUUGAUGGGUGUGCGGCUGAUUAGAUAGUUGGCGGGGUAACGGCCCACCAAGUCUACGAUCAGUAGCUGAUGUGAGAGCAUGAUCAGCCACACGGGCACUGGGACACGGGCCCGACUCCUACGGGAGGCAGCAGUAAGGAAUAUUGGACAAUGGACGCAAGUCUGACCCAGCCAUGCCGCGUGAAGGAUUAAGGUCCUCUGGAUUGUAAACUUCUUUUAUAAGGGACGAAAAAAGGCUCUUCUAAGUCGUCUGACGGUACCUUAUGAAUAAGCACCGGCUAACUCCGUGCCAGCCGCCGCUGUAAGAC
rnacentral:rRNA from 1 species